rnacentral:rRNA from 1 species
UCUCCUACGGGAGGCAGCAGUAGGGAAUCUUCGGCAAUGGGGGCAACCCUGACCGAGCAACGCCGCGUGAGUGAAGAAGGUUUUCGGAUCGUAAAGCUCUGUUGUAAGAGAAGAACGUGUGUGAGAGUGGAAAGUUCACACAGUGACGGUAACUUACCAGAAAGGGACGGCUAACUACGUGCCAGCAGCCGCGGUAAUACGUAGGUCCCGAGCGUUGUCCGGAUUUAUUGAGCGUAAAGCGAGCGCAGGCGGUUUAAUAAGUCUGAAGUUAAAGGCAGUGGCUUAACCAUUGUUCGCUUUGGAAACUGUUAAACUUGAGUCAGAAGGGAGAU